rnacentral:rRNA from 1 species
UACGGGGGGGGGCAAGCGUUGUUCGGAAUUACUGGGCGUAAAGCGCACGUAGGCGGACUGUUAAGUCGGGGGGUGAAAUCCUGGGGCUCAACCUCAGAAUUGCCUCCGAUACUGGCAGUCUCGAGUGCGGGAGAGGUGAGUGGAAUUCCCAGUGUAGAGGUGAAAUUCGUAGAUAUUGGGAAGAACACCAGUGGCGAAGGCGGUCUGCUGGGCCGUUGCUGACGCUGAGGCGCGACAGCGUGGGGGAGCAAACAGG